ACAUGCCUACAACAUAGCGUUAAUGCAUUGGAUCCCAUUAGAACUCCACAAUUAAGUGCGCUCAAGCUAGAGUAGCACUGGGAUGGGUGAAGGAGGUUCUUUAAGAAGCAUAGC
rnacentral:rRNA from 1 species